AUGAACGCUGGCGGCGUGGAUAAGGCAUGCAAGUCGAACGGUUUUCUUUAUUGAAGAAGAUGCGAUUACAUCAAAUUAACAGAUAUUUUGAAAACAGUGGCGAACGAGCUAGUAACACCUUGGUACGUACCCGAAAGUUUGGUAUAGCUCGCCUAAAGGCGGGGUAAUCCCAAAUAGUCCCUUCAUCUAUCGGAUGAUAGGGUAAAGUAGCAAUACGCUUUCGGAUCGGCCUAGGUCCGAUCAGUUAGUUGGUGAGGUAAUGGCUCACCAAGACAAUGACCGGUAGGGG
rnacentral:rRNA from 1 species